AUUUAGCCAGCUGAGUGGGGAGGAGAGAGGGACAGAGAGCCUGCUUGCUUUAAAGGAGCCAACACGAGCGUAAGCGGCUCCUCUCCUCUCCUGCUUUGCUCCUUUAAAGCAAGCAGGCUUUCUGUCCCUCUCUCCUCCCCACUCAGCGGCUCUUCUC